rnacentral:lncRNA from 1 species
CAAAAGAGUACUCAUGCAUGAAAUAGAAAAGAUCAAACAUAAAUAAAAUCUAACCAUGUUUUUUUCUUUUUUUACUCCCAGCCUCCAACUCUGUAUUUGGCCACAAAGAUGCACCCAGCGCACAACAGCACUUCAGUGGACCCCACGAGCCGUGGAACAGACUCCACCGGACUCCGCCGUCCUUCCCCACCCCACCUCCCUGGCUCAAACCUGGAGACCCUGAACGGAGCGCGUCGGUCAGCUCCCACGAGAGAGAACGAGAACGAGACAGAGAACGAGAACGGGACAGAGAGAGAGAACGUGACCUGGACAAGAGGGAUUCUUCAGUCAACAAGGAUGAUAAAGAGCGGGAACCUGCGGAAAAAAGGCACCAGAAUCAUCCAUCCCGAUCCUGUUACCCCCUCACGCUGAUGAGUCACACCCGAUCAUCCGAGCCCUCCCGGAACCACAUCCCUUCUAGUGAGUCUCGGGACAAGGGACAAAGCCCAAAGAUCGCGAGAGAGAACGAGAGCACUCAGACUGGAAGGACUCCAACACCGAUGAGCACAAGGUGAAAGGAGAAUCACCACAGUGACAAGGACGCUCCCGUCAUCCACAAUGGCCGGGUUUCUGAAGACAAGCCGGCCAAUCGAGUUACAGCGUCACCCUACAUGCGGGCAGGUGGCAUAGAUCGGGGUGAACGGCGGGCUGACUCGAGAUGUUCUGGAGAAGAAGGCCGAUAUCACCUAUGAGAAGAAAAACAGUGAGAUAAAGGUGAAAGAAGAGAGGAAAGAGGAGCAGGAUGGUUCCACAGAAAGAUCCCCGGAACAAAGGUCCACACCGCAAGCACCUCCUCCUCCUCUUCCUCCUCCUGCUGCUCUCCACCCUCCAUCUUCAAUGCCAUUACCCAUGGGCAUGGCCAGCAUGCACCCCAUAAACAGUAUCAGUAGUCUGGAGAGGACUCGUAUGGUGCCCCCCUUCAUGGGUAUCAGUCCCAUCCCAGGGGCAGAGAGGUUUCCCUAUCCCGCCUUUCACUGGGAUCCCAUGAGGGACCCUUACCGGGGACUUGAUAUCCACCGGAGAGAUCCAUUAGCUCGGGAUCUGCUCCUGCGGAAUGACCCUCUGCACCGGUUAGCAAGCGCCGCGGAUUUAUGAAGCAGAACGCUCAUACCGGACCGUGAGCCUCAUGACUUUAACCGAGACCACCCUCACGGGCUGGCCUUGGAACAGCGGCGGGAACAAGAGCGAGCACACCUAGAGGAGCGGGAACGUCUUCACUUGCUCAGAGAAGACUACGAGCAGGGACGUCUGCACCCGAUGCAUCACCCCGCUUUAGACGGACACCUCCCUCACCCGGGUCUC